rnacentral:rRNA from 1 species
CAGUAGCCGCGGGAAUACGAAGGGUGCAAGCGUUACUCGGAAUUACUGGGCGUAAAGCGUGCGUAGGUGGUGGUUUAAGUCCGUUGUGAAAGCCCUGGGCUCAACCUGGGAAUUGCAGUGGAUACUGGGUCACUAGAGUGUGGUAGAGGAUAGUGGAAUUUCCGGUGUAGCAGUGAAAUGCGUAGAGAUCGGAAGGAACAUCUGUGGCGAAGGCGACUAUCUGGGCCAACACUGACACUGAGGCACGAAAGCGUGGGGAGCAAACAGGAUUAGAUACCCCUGUAGUCCCUGUCUCUUAUAA